GAUGAACGCUAGCGGCAGGCCUAACACAUGCAAGUCGAGGGGCAGCACAUAAAGUGGUUUACUACUUUUGGUGGCGACCGGCGGACGGGUGCGUAACGCGUAUGCAACCUGCCUCCAACAGGGGGAUAACGGAGAGAAAUUUCCACUAAUACCCCAUAAUAUCAGAAUCGGCAUCGGUUUUGGUUGACAACUCCGGUGGUUGGAGAUGGGCAUGCGUUGUAUUAGAUAGUUGGUGAGGUAACGGCUUACCAAGUCAACGAUACAUAGGGGGACUGAGAGGUUAGCCCCCCACACUGGUACUGAGACACGGACCAGACUCCUACGGGAGGCAGCAGUGAGGAAUAUUGGUCAAUGGGGGCAACCCUGAACCAGCCAUGCCGCGUGCAGGAAGACGGCUCUAUGAGUUGUAAACUGCUUUUACAAGGGGAUAAAUCGGUGUACGUGUACACCGUUGAAGGUACCUUGGGAAUAAGGAUCGGCUAACUCCGUGCCAGCUGCCGCGGUAA
rnacentral:rRNA from 1 species